CCCAUCCUCUUUUUCCCGCGUCACAUCAAUCUUUGUCACGUCACGUCGUUCGUUUUUUUGCAUCCCGUGAGUUCGUGAGUUCGGCCGGCCGGUCAAUAAUUGGUGCAGGAUGCAUGCAUGUUGGUCUGCGGAGAGCUAAAUAAAUUGAGACCGCGAAGAAGAGAGCAGCACCAGAGCAGAGAAGGGAGCAAGGAAUGCGAGGAGCGGCAGAGGAGCAGCAUCUCGAGUAGAGAAAGCAGCAGAAGAGGAGCAACGCGAGCAGCAGAAGAGGAGCAACGCGAGCAGCAGAAGAGGAGCAACGCGAGCAGCAGCAGCGGCAGUUUAAUACUUCGAGAUCAGCCACUUUCGUACCGCCUUAAAUCAUUAUCAUGGCUCAUGGUGGUCUUCCCGAGCUUCUUCAGCAGCGGUACGACGAGAACCAUAGGGGAAGGAUGAUAUUCACAAGACAGCAGUUGGGUCCGUUACGAGCCCGGAGUGUGCACAAGAUUAAGGAGUUGGACCCUCGAUUCCACGAGCCACUCGCACGGGCGGGACUACUACCUUUCGCUCUCAUGAUGGCCGGAGCUCCCAUGG